AAUAAAUAAACAAUAAAAUAAAAUCAACUCUCUGCUACAGCUCAACCCUACACGUUUCGUCCGUCUAUAGCCCGGACUUCCUCAGGGGUUAUAAAGUCAUCCGGUCUCCUGUAAAUGUGUACUGGGUCUUGGGUAUCACUCACUCUUUUUUAUAUCCAUAUUCAUUAUUCCCGCCAUUGCCUCCAGCCUAUCAACGACGAGUAGUACAGCU